rnacentral:sRNA from 1 species
GCUGGGUGCAGUGGUACAUGCCUGUAAUCCCAGCGGCUUGGGAGGCUGAGACAGGAGGAUCACAAGUUCAAAGCCAGCUUCAGCAACAGAGAGGUGCUAAACAACUCAGUGAGACCCUGUCUCUA